rnacentral:rRNA from 1 species
GACGUAGGAAGCAAGCGUUGUCCGGAAUUACUGGGCGUAAAGUGUGCGUAGGCUGUUUUUUAAGUCUGAUGUGAAAUCCUGUGGCUUAACCAUAGAACUGCAUCAGAUACUGGGAGACUAGAGUGCGGAAGAGGUUGACGGAAUUACUGGUGUAGCGGUAGAAUGCGUAGAUAUUAGUAAGAAGACCGGUGGCGAAGGCGGUCAACUGGGACGUAACUGACGCUGAGGCACGAAAGCGUGGGGAGCAAACAGG